CCCUUAGAUGCUCUGGGCCGCACGCGCGCUACACUGGUCGAUGCAACGAGUUUCUUUCCUUGGCCGACAGGCCUGGGCAAUCUUUGAACAUCGAUCGUGAUCGGGAUAGAUUCUUGUAAUUUUUGAUCUUAAACGAGGAAUUCCUAGUAAACGCAAGUCAUCAGCUUGCAUUGAUUACGUCCCUGCCCUUUGUACACACCGCCCGUCGCACCUACCGAUUGAAUGGUCCGGUGAAAUCUCCGGACUGGCGUGAGUCGGAGCAAUCUGACAAACGCCGGAAAGUUGGCUAAACCUUACCAUUUAGAGGAAGGUGAAGUCGUAACA
rnacentral:rRNA from 1 species